UUGGUCUUCAGUCAGACCCCGCCCCGCCCAUGAGGCUCCCCUCGUUUUUCCAGUUAUGGGACUCGAACUCAGGACCUCACUCUCGCCAGCUGAGCUAAUCCCCGGCCUGAGGAUGCUAACUGUGUUGUAAGCUUUGACUUCAGGAACUUCGAACCUGCAGGCUUUGCUGUUUUCCAAGGUCCUGCUGGGGGACCUGAGGUUCCUGCUGAAUUUAGGAGCAGUUGCCUUGGCUACGUCUCGGUUUCCUCCGGCUUCAGGCGCUCAGGGCUGCGGAAGGUCACGGGGGCCUGGGCUCCAGGAGCUGGAGACUGGUGGGAAGGGGCCGCUGGGGCCUGCGCCGUCGGGCUUCUUCCUCCUCGAUCCCACUUCCUGCCUUCCAUGAGGCGAGCGUCUCUCCUCCGCGGCACCCUCCACCGUGCAGUGCGGUGGUGGAGUUGGUAAAUCAGACUGGAAGAAAUGAGGACUGGCAUUCCCUGAAGACCGGAGCACCGGGUGUGAGCAUCGCGCCUGCGCGGGGUGCAGCACGCCACGCGGAAACGCUGCCCAGCGCGGGCCACGCCACGCGCAUGCACAGAGGCCACCAUGGAAGGGUUGGCACGCAAGAGCCACAGGUCAUCAGGAAGGGCCAGAGCCGGGUGUGGUGGCGCACACCCAGGAUCUCAGCACUCAGGAGGCUGAGGCAGGAGGAUCCCCAGAGUUCAAGGCCAGCCUGGGCUAUAUAGGGAGAUCUGGCUCAGAAAAGCAAUCAAUCAAUCAAUAAACAAGGGACGUUCCAAGCCCGGGCUGGCUCUGUAAGUGUUGCCUGGGUCACCUGACUCUGGCGCACCACAGGACGUCCACAGAAUGAAGCCAGCGCAGUGCUGAGGACCUGGCCCGGGGUUCAGAGGUCUGUGACAGUUCUAAGGCCCGUCUCCCACCGCUUUCUUUUGCGCUUGCACAGCCCAUCUUCCCCUUUCCAGGCAUGCACCCAGACAGGAAGCACAGCGGGGCCCAGACAGAGGCAGCAGCCCCACGAGGACCCUUCGUGCCCAGCAGUGCUGGACUCAGGCGUGGGGGAGGGGGGUCCUCGCGGGAUCCUCCUGCCUCAGCCGCCCAAGCAUUGGAUGGUGGACAGAGCUUUAUGUUUUAACUGACCGAGUCACACAGACCCCUUCCAAUGCUCAAGGUGCCCCGAAGGCCGCUGGCCCUGCGCUCACGACAGGGCUGGGCUUCACAUCCUGCUGAGGAGAAGCCGGGUGACGUGGGUCCCGCAUCGGUGAGGGUGGGGCAGCCGGGAGGCUGCUGGCUUGGUGGCCUUCCGUCCCCUUCCGGUCUGUCCCUCGGGCUGUACAAUGCCCAGACUUUGCCUAAAGAAAAACCACCCCACAGCCUCCGCUAAACGAAGUGCUGGCCUGAGCAGGCAGCAGGAGCGCGGCAGCACCAACCAAGCUGAGGGUUCUCGGCUUCCCCUCUGGAUUCCCUGGAGGUGAAACCCCUAACAAAGGGAGCUGCUGGGGCUUGGCCCCAGAGUGCAGUUCAGUGCAGGGGGGGGGGGCGGUGAUGCUGGGAAUUGAACCCAGGGCCUUUCCACUGGCUACAUCCUCCACCACAGUCUUACUUUUAACUUUAGAAUCUCUAAAUUGCCUCCAUGGGACUCGAACGUGCAACCCUCCUGUCUCAGCCUCCCAGAGUGCUGGGAUUACAGGCAUACACCCCAUGCAUAGGUCGUAAAUGUUUUUGAAAAGCUCUCUGAGGUGAUUCUUAAGGGCGGGUGGCAUCCAGCACCAGGGCCAGGCUCUUUCAUUUGCAGAAAGACCUGAAAUUUGUUUGCAAAGGAGCUGUUAGAGCAGACCUGUUAUUUGGUGGUCUCUAACCACUGACCCUGGCUCUGUGUGACCUUUACCGUAGGUAAAUAAUUCUCUUGUCACUAAAGACCUGCAGCCUCAGGCACCUGCUCUGCAGGUGUGGCAGAUGUGAUUCCCACAGCUCCUCCCUCUUGUGUCAGCCCUUUUGUGUCUCCUAAUUGCUCAAAUUCCUGAAGACCCCGCAGCUUCAGGGAAGAAGUAGGAGCUGGAGAGAGAUAACAGCAGCAACCCGACAGUCCUGGCGAGCUGGACCCUAGACCUGGCAGGAGCACAAGAGUGCAGGUAGCUCGCCACGCAUCUGGGCCGAAGAUUCAACUCUGUUUUCCCGUUUUUCAAGUGGAGUUCAUAGUAGCACCCUCACUGUAGUGCCUGAGAAGAUCGAGUUCAUCCAUGGGCAAUAAAUCCCCGCUACCCGGCCACCGAGAAAGCUCAGCCGACAGGGUCACUCAUCACCGUGCGCCAGGCUCCUAGAAAUACAAUGAGGCGUGCUCAUGUUCGCUCUCACUGCUGAAUAGCAUACAUGUCAGGAACCGGGCACAGUGGGCCAGGAGGAUCGCAUGUUCCAGGCCAGACCCUGCCUCAAAAUUUAAAAAAUAAAAAAGAACAGCAAACAAUCCCUAGUACCAGGUUUAAAAGAAUAAAAAAUCAAGGAGAGCGGCAAGGUCUGCAGGAGUGAGGCGGACAGGUCCAUCGCCGGGCCUUCACAUGGAGGGGACACGUGGCCUGACUUAGUGGGGACUGACCACUCACUGUGGUGGCUCCCUCCUGAGUUUACCUGCCUCACUCACGGAGGAGGAGACACACAGGCAUCUGCCUUUCAAAGCCCCAGGUGAGGGCUGGGAUGCUUCAGUGCUGACGUGUGUGUGUGUG